UGGGGAAUUUUGGACAAUGGGCGCAAGCCUGAUCCAGCAAUGCCGCGUGAGUGAAGAAGGCCUUCGGGUUGUAAAGCUCUUUUGUCAGGGAAGAAACGGCCGAGGCUAAUACCUUUGGCUAAUGACGGUACCUGAAGAAUAAGCACCGGCUAACUACGUGCCAGCAGCCGCGGUAAUACGUAGGGUGCAAGCGUUAAUCGGAAUUACUGGGCGUAAAGCGUGCGCAGGCGGUUUUGUAAGUCUGACGUGAAAUCCCCGGGCUCAACCUGGGAAUUGCGUUGGAGACUGCAAGGCUGGAGUCUGGCAGAGGGGGGUAGAAUUCCACGUGUAGCAGUGAAAUGCGUAGAGAUGUGGAGGAACACCGAUGGCGAAGGCAGCCCCCUGGGUCAAGACUGACGCUCAUGCACGAAAGCGUGGGGAGCAAACA
rnacentral:rRNA from 1 species